UACGUAGGGGGCAAGCGUUGUCCGGAAUCAUUGGGCGUAAAGAGCGUGUAGGCGGCCCGGUAAGUCCGCUGUGAAAGUCCAGGGCUCAACCCUGGAAUGCCGGUGGAAACUGUCGGGCUAGAGUCCGGAAGAGGCGAGUGGAAUUCCUGGUGUAGCGGUGAAAUGCGCAGAUAUCAGGAGGAACACCAAUGGCGAAGGCAGCUCUCUGGGACGGUACUGACGCUGAGACGCGAAAGCGUGGGGAGCGAACAGG
rnacentral:rRNA from 1 species